GUUAUCCUACGGGGGGCAGCAGUGGGGGAUAUUGCACAAUGGGGGAAACCCUGAUGCAGCGACGCCGCGUGUGGGAAGACGGUCCUCUGGAUUGUAAACCGCUGUCCCCAGGGACGAAGAUGACGGUACCUGGGGAGGAAGCUCCGGCUAACUACGUGCCAGCAGCCGCGGUAAUACGUAGGGAGCGAGCGUUGUCCGGAAUUAUUGGGUUUAAAGGGUGCGUAGGCGGACUGGAAAGUCAGCGGUAAAAUCGAGAGGCUCAACCUCUUUCCGCCGUUGAAACUGUCGGUCUUGAGUGGGCGAGA
rnacentral:rRNA from 1 species